UAGAGAUUCCACAGGCUUUUCCAGA
rnacentral:piRNA from 1 species